rnacentral:rRNA from 1 species
GCUUACGGCCACACUACCUUGAAAACGACUGAUCUCGGAAGCUAAGCAGGGUCGGGCCUGGUUAGUACUUGGAUGGGAGACCGCCUGGGAAUACCAGGUGCUGUAAGCC